rnacentral:tRNA from 1 species
GCAGCGGAAGCUGAAAAGUUAAGCGUCGGUCUUGUAAACCGGGGGGUGAAAGUGUUGUGUUAAUCUUUCUCGCUGCU